UGGGCAACCUGCCCCUCUCUCCGGGAUAACCCCGGGAAACCGGAGCUAAUACCGGAUACUCCGGCUGGAUCGCAUGGUCCGGCCGGGAAAGGUCCGCCGGAGAGGGAUGGGCCCCGCGGCCUAUCAGCUAGUCGGUGAGGUCAUGGCUCACCAAGGCGACGACGGGUAGCUGGUCCGAGAGGAUGACCAGCCACAUUGGGACUGAGACACGGCCCAGACCUCCUACGGGAGCA
rnacentral:rRNA from 1 species